rnacentral:rRNA from 1 species
UACGUAGGGGCCUAGCGUUGUCCGGAAUUAUUGGGCGUAAAGAGCUCGUAGGCGGUUCGGCAAGUCGGAUGUGAAAUCUCCACGCUCAACGUGGAGGGGCCAUUCGAAACUGCCGUGACUCGAGUCCGGUAGGGGAGUGGUGGAAUUCCUGGUGUAGCAGUGAAAUGCGUAGAGUAUCAGGAGGAACACCGAUGGCGAAGGCAGGUCUCUGGGCCACUACUGACGCUGAGAAGCGAAAGCAUGGGGAGCGAACAGG